GAGAGAAUUAAAAGCUAUUUUUGACCCAAAUUCGAGUCCCGAUUUCUGAAGCUCGUGAAGAGAAAAACGUUGCACGUUGUGUUGUCUUCAUUUUGAGCUAAAAAUCAUAGAAGAAGGAGUGUAUUAAGGUGGUUGACUUAUACUUCAAGGUGAUAUGCAAGGCGGGAUAUGAAGAUGGUCAUGUGGAGUAGACUUUUUGGGAGCUCUUUUGAAGAUCACAUAUGCAUAUACAUCUAGUUUUUGUAUAUUAUUUUGGGGACUUGUACAUGAUACAUGUGUGACACUUAUUUACGAAAUUUUGAAGGCUUGUAACUUAAACCAAGUGACUAAUUUUGUUAUUUUAGAGUGUGCUUUUUAACUCAAGUAAUGCAAUGUACUAGGUUAUAUUUUGACUUGUCAUUAUGCACGAAGGAAGAUAAUAUUUUUGUGAUAAUUAC